rnacentral:rRNA from 1 species
AACGAACGCUGGCGGCAUGCCUAACACAUGCAAGUCGAACGAGACCUUCGGGUCUAGUGGCGCACGGGUGCGUAACGCGUGGGAACCUGCCCUUAGGUUCGGAAUAACUCCCCGAAAGGGGUGCUAAUACCGGAUAAUGUCUUCGGACCAAAGAUUUAUCGCCUUUGGAUGGGCCCGCGUUGGAUUGGCUAGUUGGUAGGGUAAAAGCCUACCAAGGCGGCGAUCCAAAGCUGGUCGGGGAGGAUGGUCAGCAACACUGGGACUGGGACACGGCCCAGACCCCCCGGGGGGGGAGAAAGGGGGAAUUUGGAACGAUGGGCGAAAGCCGAAGCCAGCAGGGCCGGGUAAGUGUGGAAGGCGUUAGGGUUAAAAGGGUAUUUUACCCGGCAUGUAAAGACCGGACCCGGGAAAAAAGCCACGGCUAAACCCGGG